CCUACGGGAGGCAGCAGUGAGGAAUAUUGGUCAAUGGGCGAGAGUCUGAACCAGCCAAGUAGCGUGAAGGAUGACUGCCCUAUGUGUUGUAAACUUCUUUUGUAUGGGAAUAAAACGUUCCACGUGUGGGAUUUUGUAUGUACCAUAUGAAUAAGGAUCGGCUAACUCCGUGCCAGCAGCCGCGUUAAUACGGAGGAUCCGAGCGUUAUCCGGAUUUAUUGGGUUUAAAGGGUGCGUAGGUGGAUUGUUAAGUCAGUUGUGAAAGUUUGCGGCUUAACCGUAAAAUUGCAGUUGAAACUGGCAGUCUUGAGUACAGGAGAGGUGGGCGGAAUGCGUGGUGUAGCGGUGAAAUGCUUAGAUAUCACGAAGAACUCCGAUUGCGAAGGCAGUUCACUGGACUGAAACUGACACUGAGGCUCGAAAGUGUGGGUAUCAAACAGGAUUAGAUACCCGGGUAGUC
rnacentral:rRNA from 1 species